GGAAGUAUAGCCCAAUGGCAGGGCAUUCGACUGCAGAUCGAGAGGUGGACCGAUCAAAUCCGCCGACUCCUU
rnacentral:tRNA from 1 species